UUUAUACUUCCUUCGUUUCAAAAUUCUUGUCUUAGAUUCGUCUAGAUACGGAUGUAUCUAAUACUAAAACAUGACUUGAUACAUCUGUAUUUAGAUAAAUUUAAGACAAGAAUUUUGGGACGGAGAGAGUACUAU
rnacentral:pre_miRNA from 1 species